GACGUAGGGCGCGAGCGUUGUCCGGAUUUAUUGGGCGUAAAGAGCUCGUAGGCGGCUUGUCGCGUCGACUGUGAAAUCCCGCGGCUCAACUGCGGGUCUGCAGUCGAUACGGGCAGACUAGAGUGAUGUAGGGGAGACUGGAAUUCCUGGUGUAGCGGUGAAAUGCGCAGAUAUCAGGAGGAACACCGAUGGCGAAGGCAGGUCUCUGGGCAUUAACUGACGCUGAGGAGCGAAAGCAUGGGGAGCGAACAGG
rnacentral:rRNA from 1 species